UGGGGAAUAUUGCGCAAUGGGCGAAAGCCUGACGCAGCAACGCCGCGUGAGGGAUGACGGCCUUCGGGUUGUAAACCUCUUUCAGCAGGGAAGAAGCGAAAGUGACGGUACCUGCAGAAGAAGCACCGGCUAACUACGUGCCAGCAGCCGCGGUAAUACGUAGGGUGCAAGCGUUGUCCGGAUUUAUUGGGCGUAAAGAGCUCGUAGGCGGUUAGUCACGUCGGAUGUGAAAACUCAGAGCUUAACUCUGAGCCUGCAUUCGAUACGGGCUGACUAGAGUGUUGUAGGGGAGACUGGAACUCCUGGUGUAGCGGUGAAAUGCGCAGAUAUCAGGAAGAACACCGGUGGCGAAGGCGGGUCUCUGGGCAACUACUGACGCUGAGGAGCGAAAGCGUGGGGAGCAAACAGGAUUAGAUACCCUGGUAGUCCACGCCGUAAACGGUGGGCGCUAGGUGUGGGGAACAUUCCACGUUCUCCGUGCCGCAGCUAACGCAUUAAGCGCCCCGCCUGGGGAGUACGGCCGCAAGGCUA
rnacentral:rRNA from 1 species